AUUUCACCUUUCCUAUAGUUUACUUCUAAUAAACCUGACAUUGUAUAAUAAAUAUUGUUGACAGAUUGUUUAUGUUCCAGAUUGUUUGUGUUCCUUCCUAUGCUAAUGGCCGUGCACUAGAGUUGGAGCGAAUCUCCUGUCGAAGAACAUCUCUAGACAUUAUGAACCAUAUGACUAUGGAUUGAUAGCGCCAACACCAAUUAAUCAGACCUGAGCAGCUGAUCAAGGAUCACCAGAAACUCUGCAGAACUUCAGUACCCAGUCCUCAAUAAGUCCUCAAUACCCAGGACUGGAAACCAGAGUUAUGCUGGAGAAAAAGCAGCUAGGCUAAAGCAUUUACAGUGGAAACUUUUGUCGUGGCUCAAAAAUCCAGGAUUGGGAUGGUGGAAGGAGCAGAAGAACCAGAAGACCAGAGAUCAGGCAGAGAUCUACUGAUGCCCCUGAGGGAACUGUUUAACUAAUGUGUUAGUUAAACCAAAAAUUUUCAGCACUCACCUUCAUGUCUUUCCAAACCUGUAAAACUUUUGGAAAGGUAGUAAAGACAGCAUUAAAGUAAGCCAUGUGACUCCAGUUGUUUAACCUUAAUUUUAUGAAGUGAUAUGAAUGGUUUAUAUGCACAAAAAACAUAGCAUUUUAUUCACACACAAACAAAAAAUCUUAUGGUGCUUUUGUGAAAAUGUGUUGGAAAUACCUAAUGUAUGAAUAAAGACGUAAUUUUGUUGUUGUUGCUGUUUUUUCCAUACACAAGGCAUCUGUUAAAAAUAUCUUUAUUUGCAUUCUGCACAAAAGUUUUUUUAUGGGUUUGUAGUGAC